UGUGUGUGUGUGUGUGUGUGUGUGUGUGUGUGUGUGUGUGUGUGUGUGUGUGUGUGUGUGUGUGUGUGUGUGUGUGUAGAUUAAACAUGAACGGGCCAAAACGGACAUGGCAGCAGGUCAAAAUCAAAUACAAGAACAUUCUGCAGAAUGCAGUGAAAAAGAAUACCCACAGACAAGGCACGGGUGGUGGGUCACCAAAGGCUGACCUUACCCCAGCAGAGGACAUGGCCUUGGAGCUAAAUAAAGGCAGGCCCGUCUUAGAGGGGAUCCCGAGGGGAAAGAGACGAGCAUAGGUUCCUCCCAAGAUGCCACCCGCUUCAUUCAAGUGUCUGGCAGCACUGUGUUCCUGUUAGAGCCACCAGCACAAGCACCAGACGAUGCUGAUCCAGGUGAAGGCCCCAGUGCAGCAGCAACAGCACAUGAUGGAGACGAUGAAGAGGAGGAGACCAUCUCUCUGGAUUCCAGAAGGCAUGAGGUAUCAUGUUAAGACUGUGAAAGUACUAUUUACUCUACAAUGGUGAGGAGUCCUCAUCAAAAUCAAAAAAUCUAAUUUAUUUUACAGGACCCAGAUGCUAUACAGUGGGAAAACCAGCCUGGCAACAUAGUGCGUAUUAAUAAAAGGACACCACAUCCUGCCAAAUUCCAGCUGCGCUAAUUGUAUUGUGUUCACAGAGCUCACAAGCUAUCAGAAAGUUGUAUGGCAACCACCUCCGGUGCCAAAUAGAACUGGCAGACAUAGACAUUCAGUACAAGAAGAAAAAGAUGGAAAAUCUUGCACUGGAGUCCGAAAUAAAAAAGAGGACAAUUAGGAAACUGGACCUUGAAAUAAAAAAACUUGAGAGGGAGCUCCAAGAAGAUGACACAGCUCAAAAUAAAAAUUAGCAAUCAGUACAACCAAGUCAUCGUUAUAAGGCAUCGCCCUCUUUUGCCCACCCCCCAGCACCAGGUGUGGCCACUAGCCUAUAUGAAGGCCCAAAAUUGUGUGUUCCUUUCUGCUCUGACAAUGGCAUGCCCAUUCGUGCGAGAUGUGGUGGAUGAAGAAGCACUUGUGCUGAGGAGAGCCUUCAGGCGAGAAAGGGUCUUCAGGGACCGGUUGGACCCACUGGCCUUCCCUGAUGACCAUCUAUAUGAAAGAUACAGGUUUUCUGCAGAUGGCAUCAGGUAUCUAUGCAGACUACUGGGUCCCAGGAUUAAGCACCGCACUGCACGGAGCCAUGCACUGAGUGUGGAGCAAAUGGUUUGUGUGGCCUUGCGCUUUUUGCUAGUGGAGCCUUCCUGUACUCAGUGGGGGAUGCAGAACAGCUGAACAAGGCCACAAUUUGCCGCACAAUAAGGAGUGUGUGUCUGGCUAUCAAAGCAUUAGCAGAUGUCUUCAUCUCCUUCCCUGGCCACAGAAGACUCUGUGACAUCAAAGAGGAGUUCUAUAGGAUUGCAGGUUUCCCCAAUGUCAUUGGUGCAGUGGACUGCACACACAUAAGGAUAAAAGCCCCCUCAGGUGCCCAUGAGGCCGAUUUUGUGAAUAGGAAAUCCUUUCACAGCAUUAAUGUUCAGAUGGUCUGCAAUGCUGACUGUGUGAUCAGCAAUGUUGUGGCAAAAUGGCCUGGCUCAGUCCAUGACUCCAGAAUCUUUCGGGCCUCUGAAAUCUAUCACAAGGUGAAUUCUCUGGUGUGUUGCUGGGAGACAGGGGGUAUGGCUGCCAGCCUUUUCUCCUGACACCUUUCACAGACCCCCAGGAAGCACAGCAGGCCUACAACAAUGCCCAUGCCAGGACCAGGGCCAGAGUUGAAAUGACCUUUGGCCUCCUGAAGGCACGCUUUCACUGCCUUCACAAAUUAAGGGUCAGCCCUGUUAGGGCAUGUGAUAUUACUGUGGCUUGUGCUGUCCUCCACAAUGUGGCCUGCCUGAGGAAGGAGAGGGCCCCCAGAGUGCCACCAGCCAUGGACUGGGACAAUCCGGCAAUCUUCCCUGAUGACGACAGUGGUCGGCUGCUGAGGGACCAAUAUGUGUUGAAUUAUUUUAGUUAGUAUGUGUGCUUUCAAUUUUGGUUAAAUAUGUCCUGCGGUGGCAGAGGAAUUUGGGUUUUUUUGGGUUCGUUUUUUGACGAAUUUGGCCUCUUAUGAUGUUUGUGCGGUAUACUGUGUGUAAUACAAGGCUGCAGGGAGGCUACUGCAUCCAUUCAUUUGUCUGUUCAGUUGAUGUGUAUGGAUUUGUCCUGCAUUUAUUUUAGUGUGCAGACAUGCAGGGUGUGUUAUAUACAGACCUUUGAAUGUGUAUGUAUCAUUUUGUAUAAUAUGCUUGGAUUCUGUGCUUUCCAUCUUGUAGAGUCACUGUGACUUCAGUUUCGAAAGGAGCUGAUGGUUUACCUGCUUUGUUUUGUCCUUAUUCAAUAAAGGAACAUAAUGUUACACAUUGUGUUUUUAUAUUCA